rnacentral:lncRNA from 1 species
ACGGACUGAGUCCGCGGAUGAAUACUAGGUCUGUUUUACCGCAACCGUUAGAGCAUCUACAACCGGAUAUCAUAAAUCCAACCCUUCAAACGCCCGCGGACGCGCCCAGAUGCGUAAAUGGACAAUGACCGGCCAGUCCUCAAUAAUCUUUUUCACAACCGGAUUCCUCAAUUAAGUAUAAUCUUAUCAGACCCCGCAAAAAUAAAUAUAAUGUAAUCACGUAGUGACCCCACCUAGGGUGCUCACGUGCAUACAUACAUCAAUGUUACGUGCCGUUUUGCAUCCGAAGUCGCGUGACGUUUUGACCAUGACGCCGUCGUUCCCUUAACGGCCGUUCAGCAUGCACGUGGGACCAGCCAUGUGCUAUACAGAUGAAAUAACAGCUUCAUGGCAUAUCCCGAGGAGAACGUGAGCUAGGCGAUUCCGUGAGCUGGGCGAUUCCGUGAGUAGGCGCGCUUGUGCACUCCUGUGAAUAUUCAAUUAGUAAUGCACAUAGAUAGACAUAUAAAAUGUGGCAAACUAACCAGGAGGAACUCUUUGCCUCUUAUAAAUGAAAUAACAACUUGGUUCAGGUAGAAAAUGAAAUACUCCCUCUGUCCCAAAAUAAGUGUCACGGAUUUAGUACAACUUUAGUGCAAAGGUGUACUAAGUUAACGGCACUUAUUUUCGAACAGAGGUAGUAGUAAGUUACCUGAGAUAAUGUACCUACGAUUAAAUGAUUAAAUGACCUGCCAAAAGGGCUCCCUCUGUAUUAAUCAUUCUGCAGAAAAAACAAAAUUAUGAGUUCCUUGCUCUGAAGCACCUAACUGCAGUUUUGUAGUAAAUGUCUGAAAAGUAAAAUCAUGCUAAAAUACAUGAUAUAUGUCAGCAAAUACAAACUUUUUUUCAUGCAUAUGUUUAGUAGAACUAAAUCAACAUAUAUAAAUGGCAAGCGUUACAUCCAUCAGAGUCCCAGGCUCUUUUUGGUGUCUUCAAAUGCUGCACGCACUACUACGGGUUGGCUGGAACAGUUGCUGAUUUUUAAUGACUCCCUCCAUCUUAAUCUUUCAGUAUAACUACAAUUGAUUAAGAGCUCCUAGCUGUGAAGAACCUAACUGCAGUUCUUUUAAUAAAUGUCUGAAAAGUAAAAUCAUACUAAAAUGGAUGAUAUAUGUUGCAAAUAUGAAGUAAAAAAAGGAAAGUUAAUAAUAUACCAUACAGUAAUAUGAGUAAACUCUGCAGAUCUGAACAUGCAGGCUUUAGCAUCAGGGAUUAUAGCUUUGACAGUGAGUUUCUCCUUUCAGCACACAGACAUUGCCAUGUAUCUCUUUGUACAGACCUCAACAUGAGAAUCUUGUGAACUUAUUUCCAUUACCUUGGGAUGGUGAAAUCUUUAUGAUACAAAGCUGAUGCAUGUAUUAGUUAACCUGCAGAGAAUUUCAUAUUUUGAUCUAUAUAAGUAAGAAAUCGUACAAAUGAGGAAUAGCUUUAUUUAGGGCCUCUCAUAUAGGCCAUUGAGUAAAUUGCAUGAAAAAGAGUCUUAUGUAUUACUCCCUCUAUUCCUAAAUGUAGUGCGCAUAGGAAACUUUAAAAGUCAAACUCCUCCUACUUUGACUACAUUUAUAAAGGACAAAUAUCUACAUCUAUAGUAUUAAGUAAAUAACAUUAGAUGCCCACUAAGCAUAUAUUUAUAUUAAAUUUAUUUGGUAUUAUUUUUGUUGAUACUUUUCUCACUAAACUUGGUCAAACCAAGCAAUGUUUUACUUCUAAGAAAUUUUAUGCACACUACAUUUAGGAACAGAGGGAGUAAAAUAGAAAUGCACAAUUCAUAAAAUAUUCAGGAACAAACAAAAUAUAGGAAACAAAUAGAAACAUGUAGUUGGUAAAUGAAUCACACAAAUAAAUUAUGAUAUAUGAUAGAAAUUGCCAAUGGCCUUAGUUACUGCUAUCCAAUAUUCUGAUUUCUGCAGUUAACUACUAACCCAUGACCUGUAAUCCAAUAUUACUACUCCGGAUUGGUAGUAAACUGAUGUUCAGUAUCAACCUCCCGAUCCAUAGCAACCAUCUAUAGGUCGCAUCCUCCUCAUUCCCAUCUUGUUCACCGUCCCUGUUACAAAGAAACAUCAUCUCGAUGUAAAAUCAUAAUGCUUGAAAUUAAUUCGUAUCUCUAGCAGUACAUUACAUCCGAUGUACUAACUGAAAAAAAAUAUAAUCAAUUUCUAGCAGUACAUUACAUCAAUGUUAGGAAAAAUGUGUAGUUGGCUAUGUCGCAUGUCCGUUGCUGGAAAAGGGCCAGAAGAAUACCUUGAUCCAGAGAAAUGGGGUUCAGUGCACACAACCCUCGUAAAAUAACCUGGCUGAAAGGAUAUUAGAGUAUCAGGUACCCACAGCGACUCACAUCCUAAUUAAAACGUUGGAUACCUGAUAAAAGUGUUUCUCCGUGUAACAGAAGCACGGGUGCAUGAGAUGGACUAACUAUGAGAUGCAAAACUCUGUGUAUUUGUAGGCAUCUUUUGAUUUUCUCAAGCAGCAAGAAGAAAAUGGGGAAUACGCGAAAUACACUUCAAGUUUUAUGUGUGGAAAAUACCUGAGAGCACAACCAAGGCA